CUGCUGCCUCCCGUAGGAGUCUGGUCCGUGUCUCAGUUCCAAUGUGGGGGACCUUCCUCUCAGAACCCCUACGCAUCGUCGGCUUGGUGGGCCGUUGCCCCACCAACUACCUAAUGCGCCGCAUGCCCAUCCGUGACCGGGGUCGCCCCCUUUGGCCGGCAGGGGAUGUCCCCUCCCGGCAUUAUGUUGUAUUAGGCGGGAUUUCUCCCGGUUAUCCAUCUGUCACGGCCAGGUUACAUACGUGUUACUCACCCGUGCGCCGGUCGCCGGCGG
rnacentral:rRNA from 1 species